AUAAAUGAUCUAUGGGAACAAAACAUAAGUAAUGAAUGCAAAGCAGCAGAAAAUUUUGGAAGGAAUGAGAAUGGGAAUUGUUCUGUGGAUGAUUGGAGUAACUCUGAGAUUGAAAAAAAUGACAAUUAAUUGUGGAAGAUGAUGGGAAUAGAACCAGUGACAGAUGUGAAGAAAAAUGGCAUGAGCUGGUUGGGUCAUUGUGCUAAGGAAGGAUGAAAGUGACUGGGUGAGUGGAGGGAUGGAAGGGUAUUGUGAAAGGAAGUAGAUAAAAGGGAAAGCUAAGUAAGACAUGGUUACAGAUGAUGGAGGAGAGAAUAUUAAGAUGCUUUGAGAAGACAAUCAAAAGGAUGCUCAAGAGAGCCACAAGGCUGACCAUUGCUUCAGGAUGUAAAAUGUCUUUGUCAUAAUUUAAGCAUAUACUUUUAUGUUUAGACUAGCAAACACUGAUAUACAUGCAAGGCAACAAAGAAUCCUUCAUGUGCACAUUUGAUUUGAUAGAAAUAGCAGCACAAUCUCUCAUGAAUUACACCCUACUGUUUAAAGAAAAGA